UACAGAGGGUGCAAGCGUUAAUCGGAAUUACUGGGCGUAAAGCGCGCGUAGGUGGUUGGCUAAGUUGGAUGUGAAAGCCCCGGGCUCAACCUGGGAGCUGCAUCCAAAACUGGCCAGCUAGAGUACGGUAGAGGGUGGUGGAGUUUCCUGUGUAGCGGUGAAAUGCGUAGAUAUAGGAAGGAACACCAGUGGCGAAGGCGACCACCUGGACUGAUACUGACACUGAGGUGCGAAAGCGUGGGGAGCAAAC
rnacentral:rRNA from 1 species